GCUAUUCCGAGACUGCUGAGCAUUGUAUUGUACCGUGCAAUUUAUUUCACAUAUUCACAUAAAUGUCUGAGCAUUGUAUUGUACCGUGCAUUGUAUUGUUGCUCAUAGCUAUCUAUGUUUUCUAGGCAACUGCAAGAGGCGCCUCCUACUGCUAGGAGUUAGAGCAAUGACCACAAGUUCCCUCCCAGCAAAUCUCCUUUUAGCUGAAGAGAUACCAAAAAACUAUCCAUCUUCUGUGAACUUUGAAGAUGGAUAUCCAUAUUAUUACCCCUCAGAUUGGAUAGUAAGUUAUGCAGUCAUAUUAUAACGUGGAAGCUUGAAGUUUAGCUCUCAAGACUCGACAACUUGUCGUCUAUUUCCUAGGAUUUUGACUUCAGGGGACAUUAUUCUGCUUUUAAGGACAGAACGAGGCAAUUGCAGAAUGUUAGGGUGAGAUUUAUACCACCGGAGAAAAAGGAAAUUCAUGAAUUGCGGUCCAAUGGAGGAGGCAGAAAGAUUGUAGUUUCGUUCCCUUUUCACGUCAUUAAAGCCUAAAUAUGGUAGGUACUUCACAAGCUUUUCUCCUUGUCAGGUUAUUUACCAAUUGGUGAAGCACAGGUAUACAGCACCAAAUCAAAUGCCAGCCAUAUAUAGCAUGCAGGAGGUUGUAUCAUUGCCUAUCCUUUCAGUUUAUCGGUUCCUUUUAGCUAAAAACACUUCCUUCAAAUCCGGCGAUUAUCAGACCCUCCUAUGCUUGCUGAUUUCCUACUUCCUGCACGAAAGAUUUUAACUUGCUCUUUGCUCAGUAAAUAGUUUACGAAGUAUGACAAUCACAGGCAGCAAGAAUAUAAGAAGUUUUCUUGAAAAUUAUGUUUGUAAGCCCAUGAGUGCUGAAUCAUUCUUGUGAUGGAUUAUAGUUUGCAAAAGUUUCACCUUUUGGCAAGUGAAAUCAUUAUCUCUUGGCAUACUGAAUUUCUUUGACGGGUUUCUUCUGAACGCAGAAACUGUAGACGGACAAAAACUAUUUCACUUUUGAGUACGGACUUGCAUCUCCAAACAGCAACCAUAGCUAUUGCUAAUGGGAGAUCUUGCACACUGAUUGUGACGGUGGAGAAGAUUUCGCAGUCAGCUUAAAGUGGAAGCCGACUCUUUCAAGGUGCUUGAAAAUGCUAUACGGGUUAACGUUGGUUGAACGAGAAAAAUAUUCGUGUGUAACACACAUAAUUAGUUGACAAUUUUUUGUGAUGAAAUUGCUUUUA